AUGAUUGAUUUCUAGGGUUCCGCAAUUUGAUUUGGUCUGGUCCGAGAGAAAUCACAUAGCAAUUGCUAUGCCACGGAAGGAGAAAAGCCUGGGAGAU
rnacentral:sRNA from 1 species